rnacentral:misc_RNA from 1 species
AAACCCUGAAUGGUGGCCUGAUAAGAUGCUGUGAUAAUAAUAUCAGCACCAGCUUCAAGAUAGUCAAGGUGCACCAAACGGAUAAGGUGAGGAGAAGUUAAGAGACACUUGGCACUCCAAAGGGGAUCGUUAAGGUCAGCUCCGUGCCGUUCGAGCUCCGUGGCGAGACCACCGUCAAUAAUGGCGACGCCGCCGGACUUGCGGAGGAAAUCCUUCAACAACGAAGACGACUGGGCGCCAGAAUAUCCCAUCUGCGAUUUGUUCCGACAGAGUAGCAGUAACGGUGAGUUAUCCUUUUUUGAUUUGUUUGGCACUUUGGCUGUUAGCCUGUUGUGUGCGGUUGGUACUGGAACAAACGCACGAAUGAAUGCUACUUUUUUUUUUUUUUUUUUUUCCAAUUCCAAUUCAUUGAAGUACAAAAGAUUAUGGGCAUUGACCCCACAAAUUUCCUAAAUAGCAUUAACG